rnacentral:rRNA from 1 species
GGAGGAAAAGAAACUAACAAGGAUUCCCCUAGUAACGGCGAGUGAAGAGGGAAGAGCCCAAGAUUGAAAGCUGGCGUCUUCGGCGUCCGCAUUGUAAUCUCAAGAAGUGUUUUCCGCUUCGGACCAAGCCUAAGUCCCCUGGAAAGGGGCAUCAUAGAGGGUGAUAAUCCCGUACAUGGCUUGGAGCGCCCGAGGCUUUGUGAUACGCUUUCUAAGAGUCGAGUUGUUUGGGAAUGCAGCUCAAAAUGGGUGGUAAAUGCCAUCUAAGGCUAAAUAUUGGGGAGAGACCGAUAGCGAACAAGUACAGUGAUGGAAAGAUGAAAAGAACUUUGAAAAGAGAGUUAAACAGUACGUGAAAUUGCCAAAAGGGAAGGGUAGGAGGUCAGAGAUGCGGCCUGGGAUUCAGCCUUGCUUUUGCUUGGUGUUUUUCCCAGAUUGCAGGCCAACGUCGGUUUUGGGCACUGGAGAAGGGUAGGAGGAACGUGGCACCUCUCGGGGUGUGUUAUAGCCUCCUACUGGAUACAGCGACCGAGACCGAGGACAGCAGCGUACUCGCAAGAGCGGGCCUUCGGGCACCUUUACGCUUAGGGCGUUGGCAUAAUGGCCCUCUACCACCCGUCUU